rnacentral:rRNA from 1 species
AAACUCAAAUGAAUUGACGGGGCCCGCACAAACGGUGGAGCAUGUGGUUUAAUUCGAAGCAACGCGAAGAACCUUACCAGGUCUUGACAUCCCCUGACAACCGAGAGAUCGGGCGUUCCCCUUCGGGGGACAGGGUGACAGGUGGUGCAUGGUUGUCGUCAGCUCGUGUCGUGAGAUGUUGGGUUAAGUCCCCGCAACGAGCGCAACCCUCGACCUUAGUUGCCAGCAUUCAGUUGGGCACUCUAAGGUGACUGCCGGCUAAAAGUCGGAGGAAGGUGGGAAUGACGUCAAAUCAUCAUGCCCCUUAUGACCUGGGCUACACACGUGCUACAAUGGGCGGUACAAAGGGUCGCGAACCCGCGAGGGGGAGCCAAUCCCAAAAAGCCGCUCUCAGUUCGGAUCGAGGUCUGAAACCCGACCUCGUGAAGCUGGAAUCGCUAGUAAUCGUGAAUCAGAAAUGUCGCCGGUGAACUACGUUCUCGGGCCUU